rnacentral:rRNA from 1 species
GGGCUCACACAAGCGGUGGAGCAUGUGGCUUAAUUCGAGGCUACGCGAAGAACCUUAUCCUAGGCUUGACAUGUGCGAAAGCGACAGGGGGUAGUCUGGCGGAAACGUCAGGCGAUGGUAUCCAAUCCAGUCCUGUUACAGGUGCUGCAUGGCUGUCGUCAGCUCGUGUCGUGAGAUGUCGGGUUAAGUCCCAUAACGAGCGAAACCCUUGCCUCCAGUUGCCAUUAUUCAGUUAGGGACUCUGGAGGGACUGCCGGUGUUAAACCGGAGGAAGGUGGGGAUGACGUCAAGUCCUCAUGGCCUUUAUGCCUAGGGCUGCACACGUGCUACAAUGCAACGAACAAAGGGAUGCCAACCCGCGAGGGGGAGCCAAUCCCAAAAAACGUUGCCCAGUUCAGAUCGAAGGCUGCAACUCGCCUUCGUGAAGUUGGAAUCGCUAGUAAUCGCGGGUCAGCAACACCGCGGUGAAUGUGUUCCUGAGCCUU